rnacentral:lncRNA from 1 species
CACUGAGCUCUACUAUAUAUAUCUGGAGAUCGUGCUCCCAUAUCUCGUCAAACAAAAAAGUGUCCGCAAAAACAUGGCGGAUUUCGAGCUCCGCGUCCACUAUUUUCGGGCGAUUUACCACUGACCACAUAAUAUUUUUUAACGCCACCUGUUUUCGCACCCCCCUGGAUGCAAAAAGUAUACACUGUGUAAUUAUUAAACUAUCAAGUUUCACAACUUUAUAUUUUGUCAACAUGCCGCGUUUGCUCGGUUUAUGGUUGUCACAACUCCUUUGACAAAGACCGGGACUGUAUUCACACUGUCACUGGUAAGGAAAUAUUAUUUUGUGCUAUCAUUCGAGAAGUUUUUUUCUGCAAAUGACAAUGUAAAGCAAACGGUAGUUUAUGUUUUGUUCACGUGCAUGUGUCACCAGCUUUUCUCGACUAUGGCUUCUUUUCUGAGGUUUUUGCAUGCAGUUUGUUUCAUUCAAAUAUUAUAUUUCCAUUGUUCCUUGUGAUGUUCUCGUGUGCGUUUUUCCUACCCACUGUACAGUGUAUUUUAUAGGCCUGUUUGUAUUUAUGAAAGCAUAUUGUUAUUGAAUUUUUUCCCUUCACAUAUUUAAGCAUUCCUGAUGCAAAGAAGCAUCCAGAAUUGUACAGCAUAUGGGUUGAGUAUAUGAAUAAACAUGCGCCAGUGAAGUCUGUUCCUGUGAAAAGUAGUUGUUUGUGUUAGAUCACUUUAGUGCUGAUAUGUAUGAGAUAAAGGGCAAAAGCCAGAAAUUAGUAUUGAGACCGGAUGCUAAUACCAACAAUAGUUACACAACGGUUUGCUCAGGUCAUUGGUGCGAGUUAAUUAAAGUGUUAUAUGUAACAGUGUGAAUGAUUUACAUUCUUUGCUAAGGGACAAGUCAUUAUUAAUGCCGGGUAGGGGGCUGGUGGAAAUUUUUAUGAAUAGCAAAAAUUUUUCAUGACCCCUUAUUUUUCUAACAAACUAUCCCCCCCCCCUUAUUGAGGCAACAUAUUUCAUAGCCCCCCCCCUCCACCCCAAUUCUGAAUUCAAUUACUCUAAGUCAAUUUCGUAACCAUUUUUCCUGCCCUCAUACUCAGUUUACUUGCAGAUGUAAAGAAUAUUGUAAAUAUUGAAAAUAAAGAAUAUUGUAAAUAUUGAAAACGAUAGCCAAGUAGAUAAUUCAGACUUUAUACCUGAAAAGUUGUCGGUCCUCAAACAAAAAACCCACACAUCAGACCUACUUUUACUAAUUGAAAAAAAUACUUUUGUGUCUGGUGGAAGCAUUACUGUAUAUUGAAGAGAUGGCAGAAGAGACUGACUGUCAACAACAUGCAGAAACAGAACAUGCGAAAGACUAAAGAGGUCCACUGUGUUAAAAGCAGGACAACAACUGUCAAUUGAAUCUUGCAUUUGCAAAUGCAGUGCAUGACCCUUUAGACAAAUUCUUUGGUGAUGAUGAGGAUGACAAUUUCCAUAUACAGUGCCUAGAACAAAACUUUUAGGUUCAAUCUAUUCAGGGUUUUCAGUUUAGGCCGGCGAACGGCGAAUUUCGCCAGACUUUUUCAUUCAACCCCACCCAAAUUCGCCAGAGCUUUUACGUUUAUAUAUAUAUAAUCCAUGUUAAAUAUGUAAUCCAUGUACAGGAAUGAUUGUUAGGCUUUUCCCUUUCGCCAUAGCUUCAUCGCCAUUAGCCAGAGCCUCACACAAAACUGAAAACCCUGUAUAUUGGGCAUUACUGUUCAAUGUAUGUAUACUGAGGUUCAAUAUAUUGGGCAUUACUGUUCAAUGUAUGUAUACUGUAUAUAUCCAUCACUCUUUUGAUAUUGCAUGUUACAAACUAUUCCAUAGAUUUUAUUUCCCCCCCCCCUUUAUGUUCAAAAUAUUUUCUGCCCCCCCCCCUUCACUGGUCAAAAAUUUUUUGUGGCCCCUCUAUAUUAAAAUUUUUUGUUACAUUUACUAGGAAUGGUAUGCUGGAUAUGUUUUAAAAGAGGGCAUACAAAAAUUGUGUGCCCAAAUAGAGCAAAAACCCACUCAGACAGUUGUUCAAGAACAACAUAAUUGGCACAAUUGCCAUGAUAUUAAAUUCAUUAAGUAACUUUGUGUAGGACUUAUAAUGUGUGAAUGUUGUGUGAGUGUUAAUUUUAAUUUAUUUAUUAGGCCAUAUUUAAUAAAUAUUCUUGGUUUGAAAAAUAUUUUAAGGGGGGGGGGGAUGUCCCCACUGCUGGUGCCACCACUGGAAAUAUUAGCUAAUUAUAGCCAGGCAUAGCUUCAAUAAAAUAUAUUGAAGUAAAUAUGACAUCAAAUAUCUCUUUUAUUAAAAGCGAUAGCUAUGUGCGUGUUUCACUUGUAUAAUUUGGGACAACCCGAAAAUACGUUAUGGAAUUAACAAAAUAAAACAUGGGUAUGAGACCAAGAAUACUUAUUGAUGGCCUGUAAUAGUAAUAUAAUAUUGUAUAUAUUUUUAAAUUAAACUUUUUAAAUGUUGAAUAAAUCUAAUUUGUAAUGAAAAUUAAUAAUGCACAUAAGAAUAUGUUUAAUAAAAUAAUAUAUAAUUAUUGUUUGGUGUGCUAGAUCCUUAAUUAACUAAUCCUUUGCCUGGUCAAACAAUAUGAUUCUAUUGCCAUGAAUUGCCAUCGAUUCCAGUGACAAACGUAGAGCCAUAUACAUUUGGGUAUUUAUUAGUGCAGAUUUACUUUCCCCAUAAUGUGCACAGAGUACAUUGUGAGUAGACAUGAUCACCAAUGUGCAGUUUCCAUAAUCUGAAAAAUACAAACAGCAGUAAAUAUUUAGAUGAUAUAUGCAUAAACCGACAUAAGUUUUGUUUCAACAAAGCAUGGCUGUGUUCACAAAUUUAUACAUUAAAAUUAUAUGUAUAGUAGAAAUGCAAGAGGAACAACAUACUUUUUAUACAAUUUGAAAGAGAAUUAUGCAAAUAUCAACGGCCUGCCCGGGGGGUACACCCCCGGGACAACUGGGGGGAAACGAGGGGGAAUUUGGUAUUUGAUCUGUGUGUUCUGCCUGUGAACCCCGGGGAAAUUAGGGAGUGGUCAUUAUUUAUGGGGAGGGGGGUGUUGGGAAAUGGGAAAAAUAAGGAUUGAAAACUUUUUUGACCCCCCCCCCUACAGAACUGAAGGCAAACUUUUUGUGCCUCCCCCCUCAUAAAAGUAGAAACUUUUCUGACCCCCACCCCCCAGUGUGGAUUGAAAAAUUAAUAGCAAUGAAACAGGUGUGCAUUGCAUGUAAAGUUAGAUAUUAGGACAAUCUGUUUAAUGUAGCUCAUGAUGUUUUACCCUGGUGAAUAUGAUUCAACCAUAUGUGAUUAAAAGUAUAUAUUAUGUGUUACUAUUUUGCAAUGCAACAUUUGUCCUACCAUAACCCUAACCCAUGACCCAUCUUCAUGCAGCAAAAUGAUUUGAACACAGGAUUUUUUUAAGAACUUGUCUGGGCACCAACCAUGGUAGUGCCUCGCAAUCAUGGGAGUCGGGCCCACUAAGUUUAACAAGCUUGCUACCCCCUGAGUGACCCAGUUGUGGUAUUUACAUAAACAUACCAUGCAAAUACACUUAACUGAUCAGAUUUGGUCUAUCAACGCACAAUGUAACGCUGUAUAUCCAAAAAUCUGUUUCAGAAAAUGCUCACAUUUCAGUUCUAGGGGUGGAAAAAUACAAAAAAUUUUCUGGGGGAGAAUCUCCGGACCCCCUACUAAUACAUACGAUACCACACCAAGCUUUUUGUCACCAACAACCAUCUGUCAUCUCUCCACACUCAAUAUAGUAUGGUCCCUUUUUGUAGAUGCCCACCCCUGAGCAGGGAAAUUUUGAAAAUUUUGAGUCUCUAGAUCUUGGAAAUAGCAUUUUCAGAGUCGUCUUUUUUGCUAUUUGUGAUUAUAGAAAUCAGAACUCUAGGGCAGGGGGAAUUAAUGCAUU